UUAGUCGUCGCCCAUCACAUGGCAGAGACAGAGUUGGGGGCCAAAUUCAAGGAGGGAAGAAAGCCAUUUUUCUCCAAGCAAGGCCAGAGAGAAUCACUAAGUAACCUGGAGGUAUAAUUCAAAAGACAAAGCUGUCUCCCAACAAUCUCGGAUGGAAUAUUCUCAGUGGAGUUGACUGCAAGGUCUGCUAGUUCUUCAGAAGAGAGCUGGUUUGGAAGAAAGAAACCUGCAGUCAUGAGUCCAAGGAAAUACUCCCUUCAGAAGACUUGGACUCUAAGACCAGAGCUGGCUGAAAGAGGAACUUACUUGUGAUCUGGGAGCCAGGAGUGAGGUGGAGCCGGUACUCCCUGAAGGUCGCUGCGGUCAGACGCGGUAAAGACAGACACAGGACAGACGCAGAGGUCCCCGGCAAA